AUGGAGGAUCAGUUUAUGAAGCAGUUACUUUUCAGCCUUCUAUUCCCAGACCAUCAAUUAUUGAAAUGCCAGUGGAAGAAGAGGGAUCCCCAAGAGAACCACAGUGCCUCAGGGUGGAACCGAAGAUGGCAGCAGGUAGAGUCCAUCCAUGGCAACGCCUCCUUUCCUGGGCUGCUGUUGUUGACAGCAGGGCUCAAAGAAUCAAAAGCUUUGCAGAUCACAAAGAAAAUUUGUAUGUUUCCAUUGAUUGGAAACAUGACUAGAAAUGUCUUUUGUGAUGUAUGCCAGGCACGACAUCUGGACAGUCUGGUCAUGGUGCAAAAAAUAGCUUCUCUUUUUCUUCUUUCUUCUAAUGAUUUCAGUGCUUGCUGAACAAAUACUUGCAAUGAAGUAGAUGAUGAUAAUGAUGAAGAAAUUUCAAAUUUAGUCAUACUAAAAUAAGUAGUGCACUUUUUCUGAAGUAUUUAUGAUUACCUUGGAAAAUGCUAUCUAGAUGCAUCUGCUUUUUAAAAAUGUGUAUAGUUAAAUACGCAGCUUUGCUAAAGAUAUUUACCCCAUCAUUGGACUUCAUAUGAGAUAAAAUGCAAAGGAAUAAAUGAGUCUAUACUUUAGUUUCUGCCUAUGAUUGGUAAUGAUAAUAAGAUGUAAUAGUCAUAAAAAUAAACAGUUGAAUGGACCUCAUAAAAUGAGAGCUAAAUCUUAAUACUCUCUGCUUCUAUUUUCCAAUGACUGUGAGGAGGGGUUAGAAGAGGUCUCCAGAUGUGUUUGCCACUGGCAGAGGCUCAUGUUCUUGUAAGUUAAUGAAAAUCAGGAGAGGAAUUAAGAAAAUUAAAAUGGUAAUGAAAAGAAUAUGCAAAGUGUGUGUGUGUGGGAUGGGGUGAACUGGCGCCUGUUCAGAUUUCCAUGGAGGAGAAAGAAUUAGGGAUUAACCAGCUCCAGCAUCUCCUCUAUGCCCCUCCCAAGUGUCUACCCCAUCAGAAACACUGUUUUAGGUUCAUGCUUCUUCUGACUUGCGCCUUGCAGAUUCUUGCAUGACUGGUUCCUUCUUCCAGUAGCUCUCAGCUGAAACAUCCAGUCCCAGAGGCUACUUUGUUGUUCCUUGAGAUCACUCUUCAUCUCAUUGUCCGUUUUAUUGGGUUGGCCCAAAAGUUUAAUUGGUUUUACUACAAGAUCUUAUGGGAAAAAACAAACAAACUUUUGAGCUAACCUAAUAUUUUUUUUCCAUAAUACUUAUUAUGGUCAAAUCAUCUUUCUAUGGAUUGGUUUCUUUCUUAAAUCUCAAGAGAUUGUAGCAUAGGAGUUGAGUCUGGAAGGACAGAUAUGAAAAUCUAUUUGUGAAAAGAAGUGCAUUAGCUGGGGUGUUUAUAAAGUGAAAACCAAAUACUGUAAAUUGACUCCAAAGGGAUAUCUAUUUGAAAUUCUGCUCCCCUGUUUUUGGCUGAUGAUCUGAUCCUUUGGUAUCUGUCACCUUAUCCUGAGGUCUAUGAUUUCUAUUUGCAGGGUAACCCAGGGUACAAUGACAGGUUAAUUGGGAGUGUGUUUAAAUAUCACCAGCUUUGCACUCUAAUGAUUCAGCAUCUAUGUAUGAUUGAAGUUUUUCUUAAUAAGUGAUCUGCCUAUAAUAGAUAGAACCCUAAUGCCUGCUCAGAAUCAGGUAGCAUCCCCUUGACUUUAUGGAUACAGUAGCUGAAUGGAUGGAGUAGCCCAUUUAAGUCCCUUUUAAUGUGAUACAGUAUGGGUUGCUGUCAACUGGUGCUCUGUUUCAGCAAGAUUAGCACUGGGAGAGUUCAUUAGGUGAAUGAGGUUUACCUUUGCCUUCAGCCUGCCCUUCUGGUGCCCUGCACCUCCUAGUGAGGUUCCUCCUCACUACUCACCCCUGAUUUCUCUGCCUUCAGAAGAACGUGCAGUUAGGCACAUAAACCUUAGUCCAUGUUAAUUCACAUCAUUGUGUUGCUUCUUCUUCAGCCUAUUGCUAUUUAAGCCACAGAGCUACCUGUGGAAUGAAAAAUGUGGCAGUUGUUAAACACAUCAGCAAACAGAAAAGAAAAAGGACACUUCUGGAUACAAUCACAAUGCCUGUGGAACCACUUUCUUAGGCUGAGCAUUGAAUGGCCCUGAGUCAUGGGAAUACUCUGCAAAGAUUUCAUUAGAGUGUUUCUUCAGAGCAGGAAUUGUGUCUCUUUACAAGUGAGUGCUCCAGCACUAAGUUGUGUCUGGCUCUCUGUGACCCUUUCGACAAUAGCCCAACAGGUUCCUUUGUCCUUGGGGUUAUCCUGGCAAGGGUACUAGAGUAGGUUGGCAUUUCCUCCUCCAGGAGCUCUUCCUGACCCACACCUCCUGCACGGGCAGGUGGAUUCUCUACCACUGAGCCACCUGGGAAGCACAUUUACAAGUGAGGUUAAAUCCUUUAUUGAAAGACACCAUUUUCAAGACUUAUAACUUCUUUCUGAUAUAAUGUUCAAGGCAAAAUAAAGGAUGGAAAGCUGAACUGAAGUGAAGCUUAUCACCCUGCACAGGGAAAAGGAAGAAUGAGUGAUAGACCCAUGAGAUGGAGGUAUCACGGAGAAGAAUUUCCAUAACUUAAGAGCCCUUUGAUAUGACCAUGACAUCACUUCCAUAAUAGAGAAAAAAUAAAUAUGCUUUACUGAUAGUGACAAGGAAGAGGGCAUAAUUUCUGCGAGGAGAACUCUACAUCAGCAAAAGGGCUGACAGUAUCACCCAAUUCAGUUUGGCUCAGUUCAGUCACUCAGUCGU
rnacentral:lncRNA from 1 species